rnacentral:rRNA from 1 species
GACGUAGGGCGCGAGCGUUGUCCGGAUUUAUUGGGCGUAAAGAGCUCGUAGGCGGCUUGUCGCGUCGAAUGUGAAAUCUCGGGGCUCAACUCCGAGCUUGCAUUCGAUACGGGCAGGCUAGAGUUCGGUAGGGGAGACUGGAAUUCCUGGUGUAGUGGUGAAAUACGUAGAUAUCAGGAGGAAUACCGGUGGCGAAGGCGGCCAUCUGGCCAAAUACUGACGCUCAUGCACGAAAGCGUGGGUAGCAAACAGG